GGGAGAUUAGCUCAGUUGGUUCAGAGCACCUGCCUUACAAGCAGGGGGUCAUAAGUUCGAAUCUUAUAUCUCCCACCA
rnacentral:tRNA from 1 species